CAGGGAUGUCAGGGCCAGGGGUAGCUGUGUGCUCAGCAAAUCGGCUCUCUCCCUGCCAGAAACACAAGGACAGCCAGGCCGGCAAACUCCACGGAGUCCGUUAGGACUUUUCCGAGGCACAGUGUUUUUUAAUUACCAGUGCAAGUUAUUAACAAACCCCUAAUUGCUCAUUUUUGGUUUUGCAAACUGAAGCAAGAUAUAACCUAGAAUAAAUGUGAAGAAAUACAAACACAGAGGACCCAAACACAUCCCUUUUUUAAAAUGGGGCUUCAGCAAUUUCCAGUUUGGGUUUAAUAUAGUUUAUCAUUUCCUUUUGCUCCCGAGGUCUAAGAAGAACUCGUGUUUUCUUCUCGUUGGACAGUCUGAGGAUAGCCUGAGGCCGUUGGGGCAAUGGUCCAACUCGCUCACCUUGGAGUGGCACCUGCGCUCCCAGCUCAGGCACCUAAGCCUUCCGCCCUCUAGGCCAGUGCGUCUCAGUCCCACUUCAUGUUAGGAUAACUGGAGGACCCUGGAGAAUAUCUGUGCCUAGGCCCUGUGCCAGGUCAAUCAAAUCAGAAUCCCUGGGCCAAGGUGUGGGAAUCAAUAUUUCCUAAAGUAAACAUAUAAACAAAUAGACAAACAAACUCCCCUCCAGGGGUUCUAAUGUCCAGUCUAGACCGAGGUCCAGUUCUAACUGCCGUGCUAUCUUUGAUGUCUCCUCUAAGACCCACCCUUCAUCCCCCCUGCCAGGAUUUGCCUUUCACCAGGAUUCUCCUGCACCUGGACUAUGGGAUAAAGUUGAAUCUGCAAAGAGUAACUACUGAAAACACAUCAACAGGCAGGGGUUGCCAGGAAGUUUGACCUGCUUCAAAGGUGGACAAGGGCAAUAUCAUCCCAGGAUAUCAACGGCCAUAAUAACAUCAAGAUGGCUUCGUAGAACAGCCGGGGCCUUGAGCACCGUGAAUCUUUGCAGCUUCAUCUCCUCCUGCCCUAGCUCUGCAUGCAUACAUUUGCAUACAAUAUGAGCAUGCAUGUACACAAACACACAUACAUGCAUGCAGGGCACACACACGUAUGAACACACACAUGAACACAUAUAGGAACACACAUGCAUGUACAUGUACAUGAAGCACAUACAUGUCCACAUCACACAUACUCCUUCUUCUGCUAUGCUCACAGUGAAACUGAACUUACCUUUGAGGAUCCUCUCCCUGCAAAGACUCCCUGGCCCUGGGAAGAAGUAAGUGAUUCUCUUCUGCAUCCCCAUAAACCUCCAUUCAUAGCAUGGAUCUAGUUCUUAAUGCCUUGGACCAUGCUGUGUGGGUUGCAUGUCUGCUUCCCUACACAGCCUUGACGUUCUCAAGUGGAGGGACCACAUCUGAUUCAUUCUGAAUUAUUGAUGCAGAGUGCAUAAGGUCUUGUAAUAUGGAGCCGAAUUUCUGAAAGGACCUUUGCCUUCAUUUUUCUGAAAACUUAGAGAAUGCAAUUCAAAUCGAAUAAGAUUGCUUGGAAACAAGGCUAGAGUGAGGCACCCUCACAAACCACUAUGUGUAAAAUCUGCUGUUUCAGAGGACCAUGGAUGUGAAAGGCUCAGCCAUGACCAGAUCCCUUCUCACACUGUCCCCACAGGCAAGAGACUCAGUAUUGCUGAGAGACUAUGGUUGCUUUAGGACAGCGGUCACCAUCCACAUUGCACAUGAGAAUUGCUGGGGAGCUUCUGAAAAUUCGAGGUCUAACCUCCCCCCCGCCCUGCCCCUUGAGGGCAGCAAUGCUUUCAGAAGCUCACAGGGCAACUCCAAUAUGCGGGGCUUGUGAGAAGCCUAUUUUAGGCUAAGGGUCGUCAGCAGCAAAUAGCCAACAUCCUCUCCAGCAGGAUACACUGAGGAAGGACAGGUGGUUUAGACAGAGAGCGCUGCCAUUUUCUUUGCCGGCCCGCAGUGUGAGGAGCGGUUAGUGAACAAGUACCCCAGGAGUAGGACCUGGUUUGCAGGGGCUCCUCCAGCAAGGAAAUCAUCUUUGUGAAAGGUGAGUUUCUGACCUACUUGUUCUUGGCGAGGGAUUUUCCAAUAGCUGAUUUAGCUGAAAGUCAACUUCUGUGUUCCAGGACAGUGAAGCCUAUGGAUCCCUUAUAAAUGCAAGCCCACCCUCAGGGUUACAUUGGUACAGGCCUGCAAUGAUGGGGACAGAUUGAAGGGGCCUGUGGGAUCCGUCAUCGGGAGACCUGGGAGAGGCCCGGCUCAGGAGGAAUCCAAAGGAUCAGGUGAACUCUGUAGGGGUUCUGGAGCUAAUCGGGAAGUCCAAAACACCCUCAGACUGGUAUUCCACCUGACCGGAAGAGAGCCUGGAGGAAGACAUGUCACCAAGGCCACCAUAGUCCAGACUGCUGUGGUUUGGCAUCUCCUGAAGCUGCCCCAGGACCCAGGAAUUACACACUCAGAGGACAGGAAACAGUUCCAAACCAAGGCCCAGAGGCAGAACCUCAUCUCCUUGCUAAGUCAGAUGAGGUCCCCCAACCUCAUUUCCAAACAUUUACAUGAUCUGAAUGAUUUAACUACUGAAAAAGAACUUACCUUGUCAACGUGAUUAGCAAUCUCUAUUAAUCGCUGCUUAACUUUUUCCAGAUCUUUUCCUUGCCUCUGAAACUUAACAAUUUUAAAUGGCAGCAUUAAUACCAGCAAGAAUAUCAAUCACGUUUCAUCUUCCUGGCUUCUGGAAAUGUGAAGUCUUGGGAUUUUACAAACCACUGGGGACCCUCCACAGUUCACGGUAAAAUGAGCUUGCAUCCUGCCGACUAACUUUCCCGGCUGGGGACUCCCUGAAAUUCCCUGAAAUUUGCCUAAGCCAAGUGCUCUCAAGACAGCAACUUCUGCAAUUUUCCAGCCUCAUAAAUGAUGGAGGCAGUGACUUGUUUUGGCAAAGAGGAA
rnacentral:lncRNA from 10 species